UGGUCAUCAAGAUGUCAGUCUCCCACC
rnacentral:piRNA from 1 species